UCUCAAGUUCAUCUCUGACAAUAAGGGAGGCUUAACUAAAUAAAUGCGAAACACUGGGGCUGUGUUUCUGUACAAGCCUCCUGAGAACACAGGAGGACUCAAAGCAGAUCUAAGAGUUUUGCAAGCCUUCACCUCUGGAACUGCAUUUCCUAAAAGGGUGAACAUUCCUUCAAAUAUGUUCAGUAUGCUUGUGCCUGAGCUUCUCUCCCUUCCACUCACCUGCCAAAAUGAUGAAGUUCAUAUUGACUGACUUUUUAUAGACCUUUUUGACUCUUGGAAAGGGUCAUCUUUCUUUGGCAAGAUUUGAAGAGCUGUCUGCAAAGCCAAACACUGAAAACUAAACUUUCAAAAGAAAACAUCUCAAUGGAAGACAUGACAGUAUUGACAGUUGGUCAAAAACAGUUGGAGAGCUGCCAGCAUCAUAUACCCUCCCUAAGAUAAAAUCCAAAGAUGAAGUCUGUUUAAUGUGAUUUCAGGAAUUUAAGUCAGAUCGCUCUGAGACGUCAUUCUGAGGUGAUCCUAAUGAAUCGUUAUCCUAACAAUUUCUCCUGCUCAAAGCAUUAGGCUAUGGGGAAAGGAGAUCAUAUCUGUUGAAACUGUAAGUGCAAGAAAGAACAUAGCUCUGCAACCUGGUGUACAGGGGCAUAAACGGAUAAAAGAGAUCUUGGCUUCCUGCCCCCACUGCCUAAAUUUAGCCUGUAAGGACUGGUUUGAGAAAGUGCCAUCCUUAUUUCAUUUUUUUAAAGAAAGAAUUUCUUAUCCUACUUUCAGGGGCAGAUUUGUGAGACCAUCUUAAAUAGGUAGAAUCACUUUGCUGAAGCAUUUAGCAGGGAGCAAAGUGCACUAGAGGAGACAGGAUUUAGAACACAUCAUCCUUCUCAUUGUCCAGCACCAGGCUGUGCCUAACUUUCUCAUACAAAAGAACUUAGAUUGUCUCUAAAUCCACCUGGUACUCCAGAUUAGGCGGUUAAGGUACAUCAGGGUCCACAGGUAGAAGCACACCAGGAAGCAACACGUUUAGCAUUGCAUUGGCCGCUGUGUUGAGUGACCAGUUGUGCUCACUGGGGACUAUGUGAAGCCAGGGAAGCCUUGAACUUCCAGACCUGAAGGUGUGGAGAGAUGUUUGCUGCAGCCUGCGGUGAUUUGGGGUAUUGAUCUGAAUUCUGUCCCUGGGAUCAGGAACAUAAGUAGGUUGCAUUAGGGUAACAUGGUGGGUCAUAAGUCCCUCUAAUGCUGUGAUCACUGGUUUCUGUUCUUCAUGAGGUUUGAAAAUGUUCAACUAAAUGUACAUGUAAGAAAUUGGCAAUAAAAAUUGAUAAAUGAGUUGUUUGAUAAAAACACCACCAACAAGAGAAAGCAAAAAUAAGAUUCCAGGCUUAUGCAAAAAGACCUGUCUGCUAAGACAGGAGAUUCCCUCUUGAGGGUUACAAAUUGUUUGUGCAGACUACUUUUGCAAUCAAAACAAGAACCCAAAUGAAUUACAUAGGAACUACUUUAAUGCUGGCUUGCUCAAGGAAGGCUGCAAAAUUGUUUGGGUUACUAAACAUAAAGCACAGCUUUGAAAAAAAUGCAAGGGUUGAUAUAGUAAGAAUUCCCUCUCAGAGAUCUCUCUGAAAUCAGCAUUAGGAACCCAUUAAAAUCAAUCAUACUUCAAAUCACUUUAAUUCCAUUGACAGUCUAGAUGAUUAGGUGGGUAAGAAGUGAAAGACACCGUUAAAACUAGACUUAUUUUGAAAAGUGGACUGUAAAGAACGCCAUGUAGUUUGAUAUUGGAAGCUGCUACCUCUCUGAAUUAAAGUGGCUGGGACUCAUACCUCUGGAGAGAGUUGGGACAUCAGUGAAGAGAAGCUGACCCUCUCUGCUUCUGCUUAACUGUGAGUUUGGUAGUCCUGCUCCUGAAACAAAAAUGCUAGAUUUUUGUUGUUGUUCUUGUUUUUCUUCUUCUUACCUAAUGGAAACCAAGUAUUACUCUCUGGGCUAUUAUCUUAGACUCUCAGUUUAAACAACCAAUCAUUAACUUGAUUUCUUUGGAGGAAGAAAUCCAAAAAUAUCAAAAGCUGUGCACUUUAAAUAAUGACUCAACCAUGGCAUUCUUAACUCCUAUGAGAGCCAGGGAGAUUAUUCAAUGCAUUUCAGGCAAAACAAAAUGUUGCUUUCACCACCAAUCUGAAAAUUCCAGUAAGUCAAGUGAAAAAAAAUGAAUCAAAAAGAACAAAAUUCCUCUUGUUGCCCCAGGAUACUUGAUAAUAAGCAUCCUAUGAGGGAUGCGUAGAGAUUUGUAAUAAUGAUCCAGGGACCUGUCUUGUGCUCAUUCCAUACAUGAGCAGGACCAUGGAAAUUAAUAGAUCUAACUAAAAGAAUAAAGGUCUGCAGGAUCUGCAGGAUCUGUUCUGAUCAGCAAUAUUUACUUCUGUUCUCUUUGGAGUAGGGGAUGGGGUGUGGAGAGGAGGAAAAUACUGUAGAGGAAAAUACCGUAGAAGAAAAUACUAUAGGAAUUGGAAGGUCAUCUAAAUAAAUCAUAACUAAUGAGGCAUCUGCCAUUAAAAAUAAAUCAUCAUCACUUUGUCACUAUCCAAUUUGCCAUUAAAUUAGUUUCCAGAUAUGACAUCAGGUCCAAUCUUUUCCUAUCAGCAUUGAUGCUUUAUUAUUGUGAAAUGGGAGCACUGGAAGGAUGAAAAUGCUCAAUGUGCAUUAGUAAUCAGAUUCAGUAAUCAGGCUGUUUGGAAAGGUAUUCCUCUUGGUGUGUUCUCAUUCCUACUGGUGUUUCUGAUAUAUAAAACAUAAACUAAACAACUAACUCCUACUUGUGCACUUUUGGCAAGGCAGUGUAUUCUUCACAUAAGUAAUUAUUGCUUGAUUUUUAUUUUAAACUUGUAUACACUCUUAGUAGAAAAAUAAUGCUGUGCCAAAGCCUGUCAAUCCAAGAAUUUCAGAGCAAUCUAACCGUUUUAUUGUAAUUAAAAUGUUUCCCCAGAGAGAGUCAUUUUCCCUCAAAACACUGCUCAGAUGUGCUGGAUGACAUUAUCUUCCUAAUAAUAAUUUAAGAAAAUGCUGUCAAUAAAAUU